UACGUAGGGCGCAAGCGUUGUCCGGAAUUAUUGGGCGUAAAGAGCUCGUAGGCGGCCUGUUGCGUCCGCUGUGAAAUCCCGGGGCUUAACCCCGGGCUUGCAGUGGAUACGGGCAGGCUGGAGGCAGGCAGGGGAGAACGGAAUUCCCGGUGUAGCGGUGAAAUGCGCAGAUAUCAGGAGGAACACCGGUGGCGAAGGCGGGUCUCUGGGCCGGUAACUGACGC
rnacentral:rRNA from 1 species